rnacentral:rRNA from 1 species
ACUUGUUUUUUAAAUAAAGACCCGUAUGAAUGGCAAGACGAAAGCUUAACUGUCUCCACUGUCUAACCAGUGAAACUGAUCUUCCUGUUCAAAAGCAGGAAUAAAAAUGUAAGACGAGAAGACCCUAUGGAACUUUAGACACAAGCCAGCCGUACACACAGCACAUGCCAUGGCCCACCGUCUUCAGUUGGGGCGACUGCGGAGAACAAAAAUCCUCCGUGAUACCAACUAAGUCCAACAAAACUAAGUAUCAAGACACUUGAAAUAACUGACCCAAUAAAAUUGAUCAACGAACCAAGCUACCCUAGGGAUAACAGCGCAAUCUUCUUAUAGAGACCUUAUCGACAAGAAG